UUCAGACACCUACGGGUGGCAGCAGUUUCGAAUCAUUCACAAUGGGCGAAAGCCUGAUGGUGCGACGCCGCGUGAGGGAUGAAGGCCUUCGGGUCGUAAACCUCUGUCACCGGGGAAGAGACGCUGCAUUUUAAUAGAAUGCAGCCUGACUUAACCCGGAGAGGAAGCAGUGGCUAACUCUGUGCCAGCAGCCGCGGUAAUACAGAGACUGCAAGCGUUAUUCGGAUUCACUGGGCGUAAAGGGUGCGCAGGCGGCCGAGUGUGUGAGGCGUGAAAGCCCGGGGCUUAACCCCGGAAUUGCACCUCAAACUACACGGCUAGAGCAUUGGAGAGGGUAGCAGAAUUCAUGGUGUAGCAGUGAAAUGCGUAGAUAUCAUGAGGAAUACCAGAGGCGAAGGCGGCUACCUGGACAAUUGCUGACGCUCAGGCACGAAAGCGUGGGGAGCAAAAGGGAUUAGAUACCCCUGUAGUCCACGCCCUAAACGGUGCACACUAGGUCUUGGCGGAUUCGACCCCCCCAGGGCCCAAGCUAACGCGUUAAGUGUGCCGCCUGAGGACUACGGCCGCAAGGCUAAAACUCAAAGGAAUUGACGGGGGCCCGCACAAGCGGUGGAGUAUGUGGCUCAAUUCGAUGCAACGCGAAGAACCUUACCAGGCCUUGACAUGCACUAGACAGACGCUGAAAGGCGUUCUCCCUUCGGGGCUGGUGCACAGGUGCUGCAUGGCUGUCGUCAGCUCGUGUCGUGAGAUGUUGCGUUAAGUCGCGCAACGAGCGCAACCCCUGUCCUUAGUUGCCAUCAUUAAGUUGGGCACUCUAGGGAGACAAACCCUCUUUGAGGGUGGGAAGGUGGGGAUGACGUCAAGUCAGGAUGGCCCUUACGGCCUGGGCUGCACACGUACUACAAUGCCCGGUACAGAGGGAAGCAAUACCGCGAGGUGGAGCAAAUCCUCAAAACCGGGCCCAGUUCAGAUUGUAGUCUGCAACUCGACUACAUGAAGUUGGAAUCGCUAGUAAUGGCGCAUCAGCUACGGCGCCGUGAAUACGUUCCCGGGCCUUGUACACACCGCCCGUCACGUCAUGAAAGCCGGUUUCGCCCGAAGUGCGUUUGCCAACCAGCAAUGGAGGCGGCGCCCUAAGGUGAGGCUGGUGAUUGGGACGAAGUCGUAACAAGGUAACCGUAGGGGAACCUGCGGUUG
rnacentral:rRNA from 1 species